rnacentral:rRNA from 1 species
AUUGAACGCUGGCGGCAGGCCUAACACAUGCAAGUCGAGCGGAUGACGGGAGCUUGCUCCUUGAUUCAGCGGCGGACGGGUGAGUAAUGCCUAGGAAUCUGCCUGGUAGUGGGGGACAACGUUUCGAAAGGAACGCUAAUACCGCAUACGUCCUACGGGAGAAAGCAGGGGACCUUCGGGCCUUGCGCUAUCAGAUGAGCCUAGGUCGGAUUAGCUAGUUGGUGGGGUAAUGGCUCACCAAGGCGACGACCCGUAACUGGUCUGAGAGGAUGAUCAGUCACACUGGAACGGAGACACGGUCCAGACUCCUACGGGGGGCAGCAGUGGGGAAUAUUGGACAAUGGGCGAAAGCCUGAUCCAGCCAUGCCGCGUGUGUGAAGAAGGUCUUCGGAUUGUAAAGCACUUUAAGUUGGGAGGAAGGGCAGUAAGCUAAUACCUUGCUGUUUUGACGUUACCGACAGAAUAAGCACCGGCUAACUCUGUGCCAGCCGCCGCCGUAACAC